AACGAACGCUGGCGGCGUGCCUAACACAUGCAAGUCGAGCGAGAAAGCCCGCAAGGGUGAGUAAAGCGGCGCACGGGUGAGUAACACGUGGGUAAUCUGCCCUGGAGCCCGGAAUAACCCGCCGAAAGGCGUGCUAAUGCCGGAUGAGACCACGGGAGCUUCGGCUUCCGCGGGAAAAGGCGGCCGCUGUACACAAGCUAUCACUCCAGGAUGAUGCCGCGCCCCAUCAGCUCGUCGGCGGGGUAACGGCCCACCAAGGCAACGACGGGUAGCUGGUCCGAGAGGACGAUCGACCACAUUGGAACUGAGACACGGUCCAGACUCCUACGGGAGGCAGCAGUGGGGAAUCUCGCGCAAUGGGCGAAAGCCUGACGCAGCAACGCCGCGUGUGUGAUGAAGGUCUUCGGAUCGUAAAGCACUGUCGCGAGGGACGAAUAAGGGUCGGGAUAAUACCCCGGUCCGAUGACGGUACCUCGAGAGGAAGCACCGGCUAACUCUGUGCCAGCAGCCGCCGCCGUA
rnacentral:rRNA from 1 species